rnacentral:tRNA from 1 species
GGAUGCAUUUAGGUUAUUGAUAAUUAAUAAUAUUACUGGCCGUUGCUCAGCCUCUUAAUCAGCGGGUCCUUGGUUCGAGCCCAAGUGCGUCCACCA